CGCCCCCGACCCACAGAUCCUGCGCGAACGCCCGCACCGCGUGCAGCCCCGUCAUCUUCCUCCGGGUCCCGCCUCCCCUCCACGGAGUCUGCGCAGGCGCCGCCCUUGACCUUCGGAAAAGCUUGGUUCUGAGGUCAUUCCAGCAGGUUGGCGUUCAUCCCUUACAGAAGAUAUUCACAAGAAGCCUGGAUUCUCAUCUCCCCAGCCCACUACAGCCUGCGCCAAGUGUCUGGCCAGGCGUGGUGGCGCAGCCUGUAAUCCCAGCACUC